rnacentral:rRNA from 1 species
GACGAACGCUGGCGGCGUGCUUAACACAUGCAAGUCGAACGAAGAGCGAUGGAAGCUUGCUUCUAUCAAUCUUAGUGGCGAACGGGUGAGUAACGCGUAAUCAACCUGCCCUUCAGAGGGGGACAACAGUUGGAAACGACUGCUAAUACCGCAUACGAUCUAAUCUCGGCAUCGAGGAUAGAUGAAAGGUGGCCGCUACAUGUAAGCUAUCACUGAAGGAGGGGAGUGCGUCCGAUGAGCUAGGUGGAGGGGUAACGGCCCACCAAGGCGAAGAUCAGUAGGCGGUCUGAGAAGGAGGACGGCCAACUUGGGACUGGGGCCCGGCCCAGGCUUCUACGGGGGGCAGCCGUUGGGGAUCUUCCGCAAUGGGCGAAAGUCUGACGGAGCCACGCCGCGUGAGGGAUGACGGCCUUCGGGUUGUAAAGCUCUGUUAAUCGGGACGAAAGGCCUUCUUGCGAAUAGUGAGAAGGAUUGACGGUACCGGAAGAGAAAGCAACGGCUAACUACGUG